rnacentral:lncRNA from 1 species
AGGGGAGGACCCAGUGGCUUCCAGUCACGCUGGAGGGCACAGGAGGGGCACUCUGCUGCUGUAGACCAGCCUUCCCUUACCACCCUUCACACCAGGGACACUGGGACUCUUACGGGCAGGGUGUGCUUUAUGCCAAGGGCAAGAGCCAACAGCAAGGACCUGGUGGUGUCCCCUGAGGGGUCCUCAGCCUGGUAGCAAAGGUCAAGAUGCUGUGAUAGGGCCAUGCUGCCUGGGGUGUGGGGCACCUGGCCCCGUGCCCUGCCUGCUCCCCGGGCAUGUCCUGUGGGAAAGCCUCCAUCAGCAAGUGCACUGGGCCUGGAGGAGGACGGCUGAGGUGUCCAGGACUCAGGGCCUGGGAGAAGGAGUGCCCCUGGGUAGACCAAGUUCAUGUGUGUGUGGGGGGGAGGGGGUGCAGUGAGGAAGUGUGUGUGGGACCAGUACAGUCAGG